rfam:Medicago truncatula strain A17 chromosome 2, whole genome shotgun sequence.
CCAUCGGUGAUGAGCUCUUAACAUGUAAGAAGGUUCCCUAGGUGGGUUGCUUCAAUGAAAUUUACUUGUUACGCUUGGCUUCUGAGAUUU